UUUUUUCCUUCAACUUCAACUUGAGAUUGCUCCUUCAUUUUGAAUCCAAAUUAAGUGAUUCAAAAGGCAAACUUCAAGAGAAUUUCGAGGGGAAUCUAGCGGUGGUCUCAGAAACGCGAGGGGAGGCUUCAUUUGAGUGGGGAAGCAUUUGGAGACCGUUCGGAGAGGAAAAGAUCCGGUACCGUGAGUUGGAGCACGCGUGAUCGGCUUUCAGGUCCGAGCACUAGUAGCCAGCGUUGAUCGAGCUUGGAGUAGACUUAUCCGGAGACGGGGGUGAGCACACGGCGUUUUGUACUAUUUCAGUCUCCAUCUGUAUAUAUAGACUUGUCUUUUUCCUUUCGAGACAGUCCAGUCUCUGUUGUCCAGUUUUGGGACUUGUACUCAUUUAGUAGUAGCUCUGUACUAGUGACUUCCAGGUUCUGGGAGGGAUCUUUAUUUGUAGAUAUGUUUUUGGU